rnacentral:tRNA from 2 species
UGGCUUGUAGUUCAGUGGUAGAACGCCUGACUGUUAAUCAGGAUGUCGUGGGUUCGAUCCCCACCUUGCCAG